AAAAGGACGAUCCAUCGAGUUCUUACGUAACUCCUCAAAGGGCUGUGAAAUGUUGCCAUUAUCUACUCAUAUCACAGCCAUUUUGAUGAGUUUCGUGGGAAUCGUCAGAAAACCGUCAGAAA
rnacentral:precursor_RNA from 15 species